UACGGGCAGCAGUGGGGAAUAUUGCACAAUGGGCGAAAGCCUGAUGCAGCUAUGCCGCGUGUAUGAAGAAGGCCUUAGGGUUGUAAAGUACUUUCAUCGGGGAGGAAAAACAAAACUAAUAAUUUUAUUUCUUGACGUUACCCGAAAAAGAAGCACCGGCUAACUCCGUGCCAGCAGCCGCGGUAAUACGGAGGGUGCUAGCGUUAAUCAGAAUUACUGGGCGUAAAGAGCACGUAGGUGGUUUUUUUAAGUCAGAUGUGAAAUCCCUGGGCUUAACCUAGGAACUGCAUUUUGAAACUGAAAUACUAGAGUAUCGUAGAGGGAGGUAGAAUUCUAGGUGUAGCGGUGAAAUGCGUAGAUAUCUGGAGGAAUACCUGUGGCGAAAGCGGCCUCCUAAACGAAUACUGACACUGAGGGUGCGAAAGCGUGGGGAGCAAACAGGGAUUAGAUACC
rnacentral:rRNA from 1 species